rnacentral:lncRNA from 1 species
ACUCCGGGAUGUUAAUCGUAAAGAAGAGUUUGUGAGGAGGAUUGAAGAAGCUGCAAGAAGUAAUCUGAUCCUGAUUUUCAGCUAACUAAUAGUGAAGUAGCACAUAUAAUGAUGUAUUCUUGGUAUACGUUUGUGGCCUCUAUAGGACUGGGAAGCUACAGUUCCAUGUAAGUGAUGAUGAGAUUGUGCAACAAUGUGACAAAGUAAUGAGGACAUUAACUUUUAUAGUUCUAAGUUCCCCCUGAGACUCACAUAAUCCAGCAUAUUUUUUUGGUUUUUGAUGUGCAUAGUUAAUAUCUUGUUGCACAUAAUAUUUGCUUCAAUAAUGCACUUUUGACAUGUAACUUCUUUUUUGGGGCUUCUGUCAAGGAUUAGGUGCUGU